AUUGAACGCUGGCGGAAUGCUUUACACAUGCAAGUCGAACGGCAGCACGGGGGCAGCCCUGGUGGCGAGUGGCGAACGGGUGAGUAAUACAUCGGAACGUGCCCGGUCGUGGGGGAUAACGUAGCGAAAGUUACGCUAAUACCGCAUACGAUCUGAGGAUGAAAGCGGGGGACCUUCGGGCCUCGCGCGAUCGGAGCGGCCGAUGUCAGAUUAGGUAGUUGGUGGGGUAAAGGCCUACCAAGCCGACGAUCUGUAGCUGGUCUGAGAGGACGACCAGCCACACUGGGACUGAGACACGGCCCAGACUCCUACGGGAGGCAGCGGUGGGGAAUUUUGGACAAUGGGCGCAAGCCUGAUCCAGCCAUUCCGCGUGCAGGACGAAGGCCUUCGGGUUGUAAACUGCUUUUGUACGGAACGAAAAGGCUCUGGCUAAUACCUGGGGCUCAUGACGGUACCGUAAGAAUAAGCACCGGCUAACUACGUG
rnacentral:rRNA from 1 species